GAGACCCAUCGGUGACUGUUCACCCAGCAAGCUCCGGCCGGAGACGGGGUAUCGGAAUGUCAGGUCUUAAAACGUGCGCGACAGCUGUCCGUGACGAUGACAGUGGGAUCGUUAGGGCUUUCUGACGCAAGGGUCUUGUUCCGGAACAUUGUUCUUUUCUGCUGUGGUGUGCGGUUGGCCUCUUGUGGCUCAGGGCCACGGGACUCGGGGAUUGUUGCUUUUUCUCUGGGAGUGUUCCUCUCCCCGAUCUUCAGAGCCUUUGAGUAGACUGACUGGCUUCGCGAGGCUCCCAGUGUUUGAUUAGCUAAAUCGCUUACUCCAGGUGGGUGUGAGAUGCUCCGAGAUCGUGAUGGCUAUUGAUUUGGAGAUGAUGAUCGCCAUCGGCGUCUGCUUACUGACGGCCGCCUGGGUGCUGAUGUGCUGUUUCCUCUGUCUUUGCUGCAAAGUGUCCAGAUCGCUGGAGUGAGUGGGAGAGGCGGAAGGGCAGAGAGGGAAAUACGACAGUGGCAUCGGCACAAAAGGCAGGUGACUUGGAGAAGGCCAUCCGGGGACUCGGCUGUCACCCGGCUCCCUACUGUCCGGCUCCCAGCGACAGAGCCUCAGAGAGCGGUCCUAUGGCAGUGGUCCGGAGAGGUGGCCUGGCCCGCGUCUCCCGGCCCCAGCCCCGUUGUGUGAAAUACAGGCUGUCUGUGUUGA